rnacentral:rRNA from 1 species
UACGGAGGGUGCGAGCGUUGUCCGGAAUCACUGGGCGUAAAGGGCGCGUAGGUGGCGCGGGCAGUCAACGGUGAAAGUUCGGGGCUCAACCCUGAAUCGGCCGUCGAUACUCCCGGGCUUGAGCACUGUAGAGGCAGAUGGAAUUCCGGGUGUAGCGGUGGAAUGCGCAGAUAUCGGGAAGAACACCCGUGGCGAAGGCGGCUCUCUGGGACGGUACUGACGCUGAGACGCGAAAGCGUGGGGAGCGAACAGG